CCCAACCUGGAAACAGGAGAAGAGACGUCUCAAAAGACAAUGUUCUGAAUCUGAACGCUUCUGGAAACAAAACAAGGGAGACAUUGUCAUAGUGCAAGAAUUGUGCAACGUGCAAAAGAACAGUUUGAGUUAUUAACGAGACGACUAUUUAACUAGAGUUUAGCGAGCAAUUCAUCUGGGUUAACUAACAACUAACAUUGUGUUGACUGGCAAAAGAGAAAUAUUGGCAUACUUGCCAACUGGCUAUGGCAGAAGUUUGACGUACAGUGCAUACGGAAGGUAUUCAGACCCCUUGACUUUUUCCACAUUGUUACCUUACAGCCUUAUACUAAAAUUACUUUAAACCCCCCCCCCCCCCCCUGGACUACACAUAAUAUCCCAUAAUGACAAGGCAAAAAUAGCUUUUUUAGAAAUGUAUCCCAUUCUUCUCUGCAGAUCCUCUCAAGCUCUGUCAGGUUGGAUGGGGAGCGUCUCUGCACAGUUAUUUUCAGGUCUCUCCACAGAUGUUAGAUUGGGAUCAAAUCCGGGCUCUGGCUGGGCCACUCAAGGACAUUCAGACUUGUCCCGAAGCCACUCCUGCGUUGUCUUGGCUGUGUGCUUAAGGUCGUUGUCCUGUUGGAAGGCAAACCUUUGCUCGAGUCUGAGGUCCUGGUUGCUCUGGAGCAGGUUUUCAUCAAGGAUCUCUCUGUUCAUCUUUCCCUCGAUCCCGACAAGUUUUCCAGUCCCUGCCGCUGAAAAACAUCCCCACAGCAUGAUGCUGCCACCACCAUGCUUCACCGUAGGGAUGGUGCCAGGUCUCCUCCAGAUGUGACACUUGGCAUUCAGGCCAAAGAGUUCAAUCUUGGUUUCAUCAGACCAGAGAAUCUUGUUUCUCAUGGUCUGAGUGUCCUUUAGGUGCCUUUUGUCAAACUCCAAGCGGGCUGUCAUGUGCCUUUUACUGUCUGGCCACUCUACCAUAAAGGCCUGAUUGGUGGAGUGCUGCAGAGAUGGUUGUCCUUCUGGAAGGUUCUCCCUUCUCCACAGAGGAACUCUGGAGCUCUGUCAGAGGGACCAUCGGGUUAUUGGUCACCUCUCUGACCAAGGCCCUGUGGGACCUUAUAUAUAGACAGGUGUAUGCCUUUCCAAAUCAUUUAUAAUCAAACUUUAUUUGUCACAUGCGCCGAAUUCAACAACUGCUUACUUACAAGCCCUUAACCAACAAUGCAGUUCAAGAAAGGGGGGAGUCAAUGUAAAUAGUCCAUAGUCCAGGUGGCCAUUUGACUAAUUGUUCAGCAGUCUCAUGGCAGAAGCUGUUAAGGAGCCUUUUGGUCCUAGAUUUGGUGCUCUGGUACCAAUUGCCGCGCGGUAGCAGAGAGAACAGUCUAUGACUUGGGUGACUGGAGUCUGACAAUGUUUUAGGCCUUCCUCUGACACCGCCUGGUAUAGAGGUCCUGGAUGGCAGGAAGCUUGGCCCCAGUGAUGUACUGGGCCGUACACACUACCCUCUGUAGCGAAUUGCGAUUGGAGGCCGAGCAGUUGCCAUACCAGGCGGUGAUGCAACCGGUCAGGAUGCUCUCGAUGGUGCAGCUGUAGAACCUUUUGAGGAUCUGGGGACCCAUGCCAAAUCUUUUCAGCCUCCUGAGGGGGAAGAGGUGUUGUCGUGCCCUCUUCACGACUGUCUUGAUGUGUUUGGACCAUGAUAGUUCGUUGGUGAUGUGGACACCAAGUCACUUGAAACUUUCGACCCGCUCCACUACAGCCCCGUCGAUGAUAAUGGGGGCGUGUUCGGUCCUCCUUUUCCUGUAGUCGACGAUCAGCUCUUUUGUCUUGCUCAUGUUGAGGGAGAGGCUGUUGUCCUGGCACCACACUGCCAGGUCUCUAACCUCAUCCCUAUAGGCUGUCUCAUCGUUGUCGGAGAUCAGGCUACCACUGUUGUGUUGUCAGCUAACUUAAUGAUGGUGUUGGAGUCGUGUUUGGCCACGCAGUCGUGGGUGAACAGGGAGUACAGGAGGGGACUAAGUACACACCCCUGAGGGGCCCCCGUGUUGAGGAUCAGCGUGGCAGAUGUGUUGUUGCACAAUCAAGUUAUAGAAACAUCUCAAGGAUGAUCAAUGGAAACAGGAUGCACCUGAGCUCAAUUUUGAGUCUCAUAGCAAAGGGUCUGAAUUCUUAUGUAAAAAAGGUUUUCAUUAUUUUCGCAAAAAUGUCUGAAUUUUAUUGUAUAUAUAGAUUGAUAUUUUCAUUUAUUUAAUCCAUUUUAGAAAAAAAGUUAAUAUUUUCCCAGUGGACUGUAUAGCCGUGUUAUUUUCUACUUCCUGUAUAUAGCCGUGUUAUUUUCUACUUCCUGUAUAUAGCCGUGUUAUUUUGAUUAUUAUUAUUAUUUUUUUUUUUUUAAAUUUUAUCCCCUUUUUCCCCAAUUUUCGUGGUAUCCAAUCGCUAGUAAUUACUAUCUUGUCUCAUCGCUACAACUCCCGUACGGGCUCGGGAGAGACGAAGGUCGAAAGUCAUGCGUCCUCCGAAGCACAACCCAACCAAGCCGCACUGCUUCUUUAACUUUAACUGUUCUGCCUGCGGUUACGAAACCCCUACCUGUCCCAGACCUGCUGUUUUCAACUCUUAAUGAUCGGCUAUGAAAAGCCAACUGAGAUUUAUUCCUGAUUAUUAUUUGACCAUGCUUGUCAUUUAUGAACAUUUUGAAAAUCUUGGCUCUCUCUAAUUUUCUCCUUCUCUCUUUCUUUCUCUCGGAGGACCUGGGCCCUAGGACCAUGCGUCGGGACUGCCGCCCGUGGUGACUCCUUGCUGUCCCCAGUCCGCCUGGCCUUGCUGCUAUUCCAGUUUCAGCUGUUCUGCCUGCGGUUAUGGAUCCGCCACCUGUCCCAGACCUGUUGUUUUUCAACUCUUAAUGAUCAGCUAUGAAAAGCCAACUGAAAAUUAUUCAAGAUUAUUAUUUGACCAUGCUUGUCACUUAUGAAUAUUUUUGAACAUCUUGGCAUAGUUCUGUUAUAAUCUCCACCCGGCACAGCCAGAAGAGGACUGGCCACCCCUCAUAGCCUGGUUCCUCUCUAGGUUUCUUCCUAGGUUUUGGCCUUUCUAGGGAGUUUUUCCUAGCCACCGUGCUUCUACACCUGCAUUCUAGCUGUUUGGGGUUUUAGGCUGGGUUUCUGUACAGCACUUCGAGAUAUUAUCUGAUGUACGAAGGGCUAUAUAAAAUAAAAUUGAUUGAAAAUUGAUUGAUUAACACAGCGCGCCUCCAACCCGGAAGCCAGCCGCACCAAUGUGUCGGAGGAAACACCGUGCACCUGGCCCCCUUGGUUAGCACGCACUGCGCCCAGCCCGCCACAGGAGUCGCUGGAGCGCGAUGAGACAAGGAAAUCCCUACCGGCCAAACCCUCCCUUACCCGGACGAAGCUAUGCCAAUUGUGCGUCGCCCCACGGACCUCCCGGUCGCGGCCGGCUGCGACAGAGCCUGGGGGCGAACCCAGAGACUCUGGUGGCGCAGUUAGCACUGCGCCACCCGGGAGGCCCCCGCCGUGUUAUUUUCUACUUCCUGUAUAUAGCCGUGUUAUUUUCUACUUCCUGUAUAUAGCCGUGUUAUUUCAUACUUCCUGUGUAUAGCCGUGUUAUUUUCUACUUCCUGUAUAUAGCCGUGUUAUUUCCUACUUCCUGUGUAUAGCCGUGUUAUUUUCUAUUACCUGUAUAUAGCCGUGUUAUUUUCUACUUCCUGUAUAUAGCCGUGUUAUUUUCUAUUACCUGUAUAUAGCCGUGUUAUUUCCUACUUCCUGUAUAUAGCCAUGUUAUUUUCUACUUCCUGUAUAUAGCCGUGUUAUUUUCUAUUACCUGUAUAUAGCCGUGUUAUUUUCUACUUCCUGUAUAUAGCCGUGUUAUUUUCUACUUCCUGUAUAUAGCCGUGUUAUUUUCUAUUACCUGUAUAUAGCCAUGUUAUUUUCUACUUCCUAUAUAUAGCCGUGUUAUUUUCUACUCCCUGUAUAUAGCCAUGUUAUUUUCUACUUCCUGUAUAUAGCCAUGUUAUUUUCUACUUCCUGUAUAUAGCCAUGUUAUUUUCUACUUCCUGUAUAUAGCCGUGUUAUUUUCUACUUCCUGUAUAUAGCCGUGUUAUUUUCUACUUCCUGUAUAUAGCCGUGUUAUUUUCUACUUCCUGUAUAUAGCCGUGUUAUUUUCUACUUCCUGUAUAUAGCCGUGUUAUUUUCUAUUACCUGUAUAUAGCCAUGUUAUUUUCUACUUCCUAUAUAUAGCCGUGUUAUUUUCUACUCCCUGUAUAUAGCCAUGUUAUUUUCUACUUCCUGUAUAUAGCCAUGUUAUUUUCUACUUCCUGUAUAUAGCCAUGUUAUUUUCUACUUCCUGUAUAUAACCAUGUUAUUUUUACUCAUUAUAGUUAUUCACUGAGUAUUUACUCCUUGUGUCACUAUGUCUAUUUUAUCUUUAACUCUGCAUGGUUGGAUAAGAACCCCUCAGUCAGCAUUUCACUGUUAGUCUGACACAUCCAAUAGUCUCUUGACAGAUUCUACGGUACAAUUUAUGUUUCCAGUCUGUCCAUGAAAGAUUAGUGAGCGAUACAUGAAUACCAAUUUCUUUAUAAAGCACAUUGUUGAAGAAAAGUUUCAAAUUAAAUCACCCUGGAAGAUCAUAA